GAUGAACGCUGGCGGCGUGCCUAAUACAUGCAAGUCGAGCGAACGGACGAGAAGCUUGCUUUUCUGAUGUUAGCGGCGGACGGGUGAGUAACACGUGGAUAACCUACCUAUAAGACUGGGAUAACUUCGGGAAACCGGAGCUAACACCGGAUAAUCUUUUGAACCGCAUGGUUCAAAAGUGAAAGACGGUCUUGCUGUCACUUAUCGAUGGAUCCGCGCUGCAUUAGCUAGUUGGUAAGGUAACGGCUUACCAAGGCAACGAUGCAUAGCCGACCUGAGAGGGUGAUCGGCCACACUGGAACGUGGACACGGUCCAGGCUCCUACGGGAGGCAGCAGUAGGGAAUCCUCCGCAAUGGGCGAGAGCCUGACAGAACAGCGCCGCGUGAGUUAUGAAGGUCUUCGGAUCGUAAAACUCUGUUAUUAGGGAAGAACAUAUGUGUAAGUAACUGUGCACAUCUUGACGGUGCCUAAUCAGAAAGCCACGGCUAACUACGUG
rnacentral:rRNA from 1 species